UACGAAGGGGGCUAGCGUUGCUCGGAAUCACUGGGCGUAAAGGGCGCGUAGGCGGCCAUUCAAGUCGGGGGUGAAAGCCUGUGGCUCAACCACAGAAUUGCCUUCGAUACUGUUUGGCUUGAGUAUGGUAGAGGUUGGUGGAACUGCGAGUGUAGAGGUGAAAUUCGUAGAUGUUCGCAAGAACACCGGUGGCGAAGGCGGCCAACUGGACCAUUACUGACGCUGGGGCGCGAAAGCGUGGGGAGCAAACAGG
rnacentral:rRNA from 1 species